AUUGAACGCUGGCGGCAUGCCUUACACAUGCAAGUCGAACGGCAGCACGGGUGCUUGCACCUGGUGGCGAGUGGCGAACGGGUGAGUAAUACAUCGGAACGUACCUUAUCGUGGGGGAUAACGCAGCGAAAGCUGUGCUAAUACCGCAUACGCCCUGAGGGGGAAAGCGGGGGAUCGCAAGACCUCGCGCGAUUAGAGCGGCCGAUGCCUGAUUAGCUAGUUGGUGGGGUAAAAGCCCACCAAGGCGACGAUCAGUAGCUGGUCUGAGAGGACGAGCAGCCACACUGGGACGAGGACACGGCCCAGGCUCCUACGGGAGGCAGCAGUGGGGAAUUUUGGACAAUGGGGGCAACCCUGAUCCAGCAAUGCCGCGUGAGUGAAGAAGGCCUUCGGGUUGUAAAGCUCUUUUGUCAGGGAAGAAACACCGGCUCUAACACAGUCCGGGAAUGACGGUACCUGAAGAAUAAGCACCGGCUAACUACGUGCCAGCCGCCGCCGUAA
rnacentral:rRNA from 1 species